UUCCGGUUGAUCCCGCCGGACCUGACUGCUAUCGGAUUGAUACUARGCCAUGCGAGUCAUUGUAGCAAUACAAGGCAUACGGCUCAGUAACGCGUAGUCAACCUACCCUAUGGACGGAAAUAACCUCGGGAAACUGAGAAUAAUAUCCGAUAGAACAUUAUGCCUGGAAUGGUUUAUGUUCCAAAUGAUUUAUCGCCGUAGGAUGGGACUGCGGCCUAUCAGUUUGUUGGUGAGGUAAUGGCCCACCAAGACUAUUACAGGUACGGGCUCUGAGAGGAGUAGCCCGGAGAUGGGUACUGAGACACGGACCCAGGCCCUAUGGGGCGCAGCAGGCGAGAAAACUUUGCAAUGUGCGAAAGCACGACAAGGUUAAUCCGAGUGAUUUCUGCUAAAGAAAUCUUUUGUUAGUCCUAGAAACACUAACGAAUAAGGGGUGGGCAAGUUCUGGUGUCAGCCGCCGCGGUAAAACCAGCACCUCAAGUGGUCAGGAUGAUUAUUGGGCCUAAAGCAUCCGUAGCCGGCUCUGUAAGUCCUCGGUUAAAUCUGUACGCUUAACGUACAGGCUGCCGGGAAUACUGCAUAGCUAGGGAGUGGGAGAGGUAGACGGUACUCGGUAGGAAGGGGUAAAAUCCUUUGAUCUAUUGAUGACCACCUGUGGCGAAGGCGGUCUACCAGAACACGUCCGACGGUGAGGGAUGAAAGCUGGGGGAGCAAACCGGAUUAGAUACCCGGGUAGUCCCAGCUGUAAACUAUGCAAACUCAGUGAUGCAUUGGCUUGUGGCCAAUGCAGUGCUGCAGGGAAGCCGUUAAGUUUGCCGCCUGGGAAGUACGUACGCAAGUAUGAAACUUAAAGGAAUUGGCGGGGGAGCACCACAAGGGGUGAAGCCUGCGGUUCAAUUGGAGUCAACGCCGG
rnacentral:rRNA from 2 species